rnacentral:rRNA from 1 species
CACUCCUGCGGGAGGCAGCAGUGGGGAAUUUUGGACAAUGGGCGAAAGCCUGAUCCAGCCAUGCCGCGUGCAGGAUGAAGGCCUUCGGGUUGUAAACUGCUUUUGUACGGAACGAAACGGCCUUUUCUAAUAAAGAGGGCUAAUGACGGUACCGUAAGAAUAAGCACCGGCUAACUACGUGCCAGCAGCCGCGGUAAUACGUAGGGUGCAAGCGUUAAUCGGAAUUACUGGGCGUAAAGCGUGCGCAGGCGGUUAUGUAAGACAGUUGUGAAAUCCCCGGGCUCAACCUGGGAACUGCAUCUGUGACUGCAUAGCUAGAGUACGGUAGAGGGGGAUGGAAUUCCGCGUGUAGCAGUGAAAUGCGUAGAUAUGCGGAGGAACACCGAUGGCGAAGGCAAUCCCCUGGACCUGUACUGACGCUCAUGCACGAAAGCGUGGGGAGCAAACAGGAUUAGAUACCCUUGUAGUCCCAUGA